rnacentral:tRNA from 1 species
GGGGAUAUGAUGGAAUCGGUAGACGUGUCAGACUCAAAAUCUGAUGACCGAGAGGUCGUGUGGGUUCGAGUCCCACUAUCCCCACCA